GGAAGUAAAAGUCGUAACAAGUUUUCCGUAGGUGAACCUGCGGAAGGAUCAUUAAUGAGUUGUCAUGGGGUUCGAUGCUGGCAGCCAGUUUUUGGAUGCAUGUGCUUGCCCUAACAAUCAUCUUCUUCCAAACACCUGUGCACAUUUUUGAGGGAGUCUUGAGUUGGUUGCCGCUCUUGGGUGAUUUUCUCACAUUCCCUUAAAUCAUUAUACGCUAUUAACAAUGUUGAACGUGCUCUGUGCCGCAAGGCCAUUAAUAUAAUACAACUUUUAACAACGGAUCUCUUGGCUCUC
rnacentral:misc_RNA from 1 species